rnacentral:tRNA from 1 species
UCUAAGGAUGAGUGAAAGUAAAAUUUCACUCUAAAUAAUAUACAUCGGUAAUGUUGACCGUCCUCAUUUCUCUUCUUAAAGUAAUGUUUCCUUCUUGUAGGGCCGGUAGCUCAGUUGGUUAGAGCACACCCUUGAUAAGGGUGGGGUCGAAAGUUCGAGUCUUUCUCGGCCCACCAAAAACCUAAAUGGGGGAUUAGCUCAUCUGGGAGAGCGCCUGAUUUGCAUUCAGGAGGUAGCAGGUUCGAUCCCUGUAUCCUCCACCAGGAAACAUUUAGUUAUUAAAACUGUAAAGAAAAAUAAUUUAUAUCAAUAUCUAUAUCCGAACAUUAAAAGUUAUUAUUUAAUGUUCAAAAUAAAAAUUUGAUCACAACAUAGAUAAAUUUUCUGUUAAAAGAAUUUUUUUCUGUGCAUAAAU